ACGGGUGCGUAACGCGUGGGAAUCUGCCCUUUGGUUCGGAAUAACAGCUGGAAACGGCUGCUAAUACCGGAUGAUGACGAAAGUCCAAAGAUUUAUCGCCAGAGGAUGAGCCCGCGUUGGAUUAGGUAGUUGGUGGGGUAAAGGCCUACCAAGCCGACGAUCCAUAGCUGGUCUGAGAGGAUGAUCAGCCACACUGGGACUGAGACACGGCCCAGACUCCUACGGGAGGCAGCAGUGGGGAAUAUUGGACAAUGGGCGAAAGCCUGAUCCAGCAAUGCCGCGUGAGUGAUGAAGGCCCUAGGGUUGUAAAGCUCUUUUACCCGGGAAGAUAAUGACUGUACCGGGAGAAUAAGCCCCGGCUAACUCCGUGCCAGCAGCCGCGGUAAUACGGAGGGGGCUAGCGUUGUUCGGAAUUACUGGGCGUAAAGCGCACGUAGGCGGCUUUGUAAGUCAGAGGUGAAAGCCUGGAGCUCAACUCCAGAACUGCCUUUGAGACUGCAUCGCUUGAAUCCAGGAGAGGUCAGUGGAAUUCCGAGU
rnacentral:rRNA from 1 species